UACGUAGGGUCCGAGCGUUGUCCGGAAUUAUUGGGCGUAAAGGGCUCGAUAGGCGGUUUGUUGUCGUCGGGAGUGAAAACUUACAGCUUAACUGUGAGCGUUGCUUCCGAAUACGGGCAGGACUUGAGGUGAUUCAGGGGAGAACGGAAUUCCUGGUGUAGGCGGUGAAAGUGACUGCAGAUAGUCAGGAGGAACACCGGUGGCGAAGGGCGGGAUUCUCCGUGGGGAAUAAGUCCGUGACGCUGGAGGAGCGAAAGCGUGGGGAGCGAACAGGA
rnacentral:rRNA from 1 species